rnacentral:rRNA from 1 species
UACGAAGGGGGCUAGCGUUGUUCGGAAUUACUGGGCGUAAAGCGUGCGCGAGCGGCUUCUCAAGUCAGGGGUGAAAGCCCAGAGCUCAACUCUGGAAUUGCCUUUGGAGACUGAGUGGCUUGAGUACGAGAGAGGAGAGUGGAAUUCCCAGUGUAGAGGUGAAAUUCGUAGAUAUUGGGAAGAACACCGGUGGCGAAGGCGGCUCUCUGGACCGAUACUGACGCUGAGGCGCGAAAGCGUGGGGAGCAAACAGG